CAAGACUGUGAGGUGGAGCAAAACUCAAAAACUUGUCUCAGUUCGGAUUGUAGGCUGAAACUCGCCUACAUGAAGCUGGAGUUGCUAGUAAUCGCGAAUCAGCAUGUCGCGGUGAAUACGUUCCCGGGCCUUGUACACACCGCCCGUCACACCAUGAGAGUUGGCAAUACCCAACGUACGUGAUCUAACCCGCAAGGGAGGAAGCGUCCUAAGGUAGGGUCAGCGAUUGGGGUGAAGUCGUAACAAGGUAUC
rnacentral:rRNA from 1 species